UACCACAACAUGGAUAAAAGACAAAAGACCAAAAGAUUUAUAAUUGGUCACAUCCAUAUGCCAAAUUUCGUUGGGUCUCAAACGACAAGGGUUCUUCCUUGGAGGCAGUGUAGGAGCAUAGAAAGGAAGGCAAGCUGUACAGGUUUUUACUAUGCUCCUACCUUCCUCUCUUGUU